GACCGAACUGAAUAAUAAAGAGAAAUACGUCAAACUGGGCACAGAAAUCAAAGGAAUUAGCAACACUGGUGAAUAAACAGUUUAAAAAAAAAGGUGAUGCUCAACAAGAGCUGAAGGCAGCCUUUGUCAUUUACGUUGUGCUCAUCAGCAAGUUACAACUCACCCUCAGUUUAUGUAUUUUUGAAAGAACAUUGAGGUGAAUUUAAAAACAAUGCUCCCACAACACCAUUGAGAAUACAUCGCACUGCAUGUCAAUAGAUACUAAUGAUCAGACAAAAUGGAGGUGAUCUUUUUUUAAUGCAGGAUCAAAGUAUCUUUCAAAAUACUUGCCAAAUAAAUCUGAUCAAGAAAAAUAAAAUUAAAAACAAUAUUAAAUAUGUAAUAUCAAAGUUUAAUUACUUCAACAUUCAACAAGAAUGUUAAAAUUGAAGAAUUAUCCCCCAUAUCUCUUUGUCCAUUAAUAGCAUUGUUAUGAUUAUUUCAGUACAUUAUCUGUAUUUCACAUACUGCUUCAAUGUCACGUCUAAUCAUCAUAUACAUCAGUCAGUUAUCAUGAAUAACAGCCCCAUACGGGGUCAAAGGUCAUAAACCAUUUACCUUUUCCACUGAUGUCAAUUGCAAAGAAGUUGCUUGUUUGAAAGCAAUGGGUAUUUUGAGCAUCUCAGAAAUUGUUUCUCAUCUCAUUAUCACGCCAUAUUUAUAUUUAACUUACUCCAUAGAUCAUUUGUCUAUUCUGUUGUUAGCUUCAAGCAAGGUUUACAAGCAAGUGUGUAGGAAGGAACUGCAGAUGCUGGUAUACAUCGAAGAUAGACACAAGAUGCUGGAGUAACUCAGCAGGACAAGCAGCAUCUCUGGAUAGAAGGAAUGGGUGACGUUUCGGGUCGAGACCCUUCUUCAGAGGUUUUACAAGCAAGUUGCUCGGUAUAUAAAGGAGACAACAUUUCUCCGAACAUGCAAGAAAGCUUAGUGACAGAGUGACAGAAUCAAAUGCAGAGCAGUGUGAAGUCACUUUAAAAUGAAUUCUCUUUUUGAAGGGAACAAGCUUAAAUAAAUAAAAUAUAGAGUGCUGUGAUAACAGGUUUAUGUUCCUCCAUGCUCUAUUUGUCAUGGGUGAGGGAAGUCUUUGAUAUUAAAAAAAAACAUGUCCAGUACUGACAGAGGAUACACAUGUAUUCUGGAAUGAGGUGUGCAAUGAC